UACAGGGGGUGCAAGCGUUAUUCGGAAUUACUGGGCGUAAAGCGCGCGUAGGCGGACCUGCAAGUCGGGGGUGAAAGCCCGAGGCUCAACCUCGGAACUGCCUUCGAUACUGCGGGUCUCGAGUCCGGGAGAGGUGAGUGGAAUUCCUAGUGUAGAGGUGAAAUUCGUAGAUAUUAGGAAGAACACCAGUGGCGAAGGCGGCUCACUGGCCCGGUACUGACGCUGAGGCGCGAAAGCGUGGGGAGCAAACAGG
rnacentral:rRNA from 1 species